rnacentral:rRNA from 1 species
GACGAACGCUGGCGGCGUGCCUAAUACAUGCAAGUCGAACGCAGUGGGGACGGGUGAGUAACACGUGGUUAACCUCCCAUCAGAGGGGAAAACCCUUGGAAACAGGUGCUAAACUGAUAUUGAUGGAUGGACCCGCGGUGCAUUAGCUAGUUGGCGAGGUAACGGCUCACCAAGGCCACGAUGCAUAGGCGACCUGUGAGGGUGAGCGGCCACACUGGAACUGAGACACGGCCCAGACUCCUACGGUAGGCAGCAGUAGGGAAUCUUCGGCAAUGGGCGAAAGUCUGACCGAGCAACGCCGCGUGAGUGAAGAAGGUUUUCGGAUCGUAAAACUCUGUUGUUAGAGAAGCGGUAUCUAACCAGAAAGCCACGGCUAACUACGUGCCAGCAGCCGCGGUAAUAC